UAAAUUUUAGUUUAUAUUAAAAAAUAAUUCAUUUACAUUGAGAAGAUUAAUUGAAAAAAUUAAAAUUUUA
rnacentral:tRNA from 1 species